rnacentral:rRNA from 1 species
GACGUAGGGGGCGAGCGUUGUCCGGAUUUAUUGGGCGUAAAGCGCGCGCAGGCGGUUCGGUAAGUCGGAUGUGAAAAUCCGGGGCUCAACCCCAGACCUGCAUCCGAUACUCCCGGACUGGAGGCAGGUAGGGGAGAGCGGAAUUCCCGGUGUAGCGGUGAAAUGCGCAGAUAUCGGGAAGAACACCGGUGGCGAAGGCGGCUCUCUGGGCCUGUCCUGACGCUCAGGCGCGAAAGCUAGGGGAGCGAACAGG